rnacentral:lncRNA from 1 species
UCAUGCUCCGCACUUGCCAAUGCCUCGCGAAUCUGUGGCCAUUUACAAGGCUUUCUUUGGUGUGCCUUUUCCUUCAAGUGUGCGUGCCCCUGUGGGAACCCCUCAUCACAUGUACCUGAACCUGUCCAGACAUGUAUUGCGUAAUGUUAGCCGUUUGCCGUAAUGUUAGCCGUAAAAAAAAAAAAAACAGGAAAAAUGUAGUCGCAAGGACUCCAACAACACAGCAAAGCUAUCCAGGGUCGCCAAGUGCAGAUGACAGACGAUGUUCUUCACUUUCAUUCCGACCGACUCAACUGAACGCAAGGGAGUGGCACGAUUUAUCAGGGCCCUAGGAGCUCUUCAAUGUGUUUCUAUUCAUAUUGUUCGAGACCAUGAGAUUGUGAUUUCUUGAACAUCCCGCUGUUUGUUCGGGAGUUUUUCAACAAUACAUAUGCAAACAACUUUUCUUCAACUUUAACAACUUUUCGGGAACCUCUUUGUGCUCCGUCAACAAACAAAGGACAUGGCUUGAAUAUCCUGCUUUAUUGAUUUCAACAGUCCCGGGCAGACAUGCCUGCAGUGCCGCUCUCGCACAUUGACAUAACCGAGUUGGACAGCUCCUUGGCGUUAUCGCACAGCUGACACGGCUGAGUUCUUCGGAGGGCACAAACCGCUACGGGGAAGCACACAAUUACGUGACUGAUCAUCCAUGAUUAAAUCGGCCUGCCUACACGUACUGAUUAUUACACGUACUGACAUUAUUUUUGUCUACACGUAUAGGAGUUGCCUUACGUUUGUGGAAGUGGUGUAUACAGCGUGAGAGGAUCUAAUCGAUGGGGGUUGCCUGGCGAUCUUCACUUCUUUCUUGAAGACGGUUUUUGUCGCUCUUUGCUGCUCGCUUACCCCUUGGUACAAAACACAGCAUGUCCACAUAUAUAUCGACAAGUUCGAAAAUACAGGUUACAAAUACGGUAUAGCUCAUCCAGCCGCAGCGGGACGCCGCCGCAGCAAAAGAGUGAUACACCACUGCAUUAAAAGGGUUUACUUUUCUGAUUUUCAUCUGGAAUCUGCUGUGCUUUUGCUUCUGAUAUACUUUGAAGAGAGCUGAGAGCGUUCCAUCAUGGAUUUAACCCUGAAUCCCACAGAUUUCGAAUCAAGGCUUGCCUAAGUGUUUUGCAUACUAAUGUAGUUGGCCCUCUCAUAGUGUAUGCACCUCUCCACACAAUGUUACUCUCAUCUCUUUUGAUUCUGGCCUCCACUUUUUAACCAGACGUGGCAGGCAGUGUGCUUUUCCCCUUACAUUACUUUGCCAAAGUCAUGUGUGUUGCCCAUCUUGAUGUGUGCGCUUGGCCCUGGACCAUCCAAUGUCCUUUCUAUUUGCUGUGUUGUUAUGUGCACCCUUGAUGCUAUGUGCUGCUUAGCAACAACUACAACUACAAGAACAAUUUUUUCCUGUUUCAUUUCCAUUUAACUUAUCUUUUGAAUUGUUUUUCAUGUAUAGGCUAGCAGUCGCACGUUUUGACUGAAGGCCUUUUCUUUUCUGUAAUCCUGUAAUCCUGUCAAGACAUGUAUUGCGUAAUGUUAGCCGUUUCAGAUUACGUGCUCAUACCUUGCGUGCAAACUGUGCGAUUUGGUCCCGUGAACAGAUUUCUCCUAUUUGUGAUAGAUGCAGCUUGCAUGAGGAUCAAGAUGAAGUUCAUGUGCUU